GCCGAAGUGGUGGAAUUGGUAGACACGUACGUUUGAGGGGCGUAUGGGCAACCGUGGGGGUUCGAGUCCCCCCUUCGGCA
rnacentral:tRNA from 1 species